UACGGGGGGGGCAAGCGUUGUUCGGAAUUACUGGGCGUAAAGGGCUCGUAGGCGGCCAACUAAGUCAGACGUGAAAUCCCUCGGCUUAACCGGGGAACUGCGUCUGAUACUGGAUGGCUUGAGUGUGGGAGAGGGAUGCGGAAUUCCAGGUGUAGCGGUGAAAUGCGUAGAUAUCUGGAGGAAUACCGGUGGCGAAGGCGGCAUCCUGGACCGACAUUGACGCUGAGGAGCGAAAGCUAGGGGAGCAAACGGGG
rnacentral:rRNA from 1 species